rnacentral:rRNA from 1 species
AUUGAACGCUGGCGGCAGGCCUAACACAUGCAAGUCGAGCGGAUGAAGGGAGCUUGCUCCUGGAUUCAGCGGCGGACGGGUGAGUAAUGCCUAGGAAUCUGCCUGGUAGUGGGGGAUAACGUCCGGAAACGGGCGCUAAUACCGCAUACGUCCUGAGGUAGAAAGUGGGUGAUCUUCGGACCUCACGCUAUCAGAUGAGCCUAGGUCGGAUUAGCUAGUUGGUGGGGUAAAGGCCUACCAAGGCGACGAUCCGUAACUGGUCUGAGAGGAUGAUCAGUCACCCUGGAAGUGAGACACGGUCCAGACUCCUACGGGAGGCAGCAGUGGGGACUAUUGGACAAAGGGCGAAAGCCUGAUCCAGCCAUGCCGCGUGUGUGAAGAAGGUCUUCGGAUUGUAGAGCACUUUAAGUUGGGAGGAAGGGCAGUAAGUUAAUACCUUGCUGUUUUGACGUUACCAACAGAAUAAGCACCGGCUAACUUCGUG